AUUGAACGCUGGCGGCAUGCCUUACACAUGCAAGUCGAACGGUAACGGGCCUUCGGGUGCCGACGAGUGGCGAACGGGUGAGUAAUACAUCGGAACGUGCCCGAUCGUGGGGGAUAACGAGGCGAAAGCUUUGCUAAUACCGCAUACGAUCUACGGAUGAAAGCAGGGGACCGCAAGGCCUUGCGCGGACGGAGCGGCCGAUGGCAGAUUAGGUAGUUGGUGGGAUAAAAGCUUACCAAGCCGACGAUCUGUAGCUGGUCUGAGAGGAUGAUCAGCCACACUGGGACUGAGACACGGCCCAGACUCCUACGGGAGGCAGCAGUGGGGAAUUUUGGACAAUGGGCGCAAGCCUGAUCCAGCCAUGCCGCGUGCAGGAUGAAGGCCUUCGGGUUGUAAACUGCUUUUGAACGGAACGAAAAGCCUUCUUUUAAUACAGGAGGGUCAUGACGGUACCGUAAGAAUAAGCACCGGCUAACUACGUG
rnacentral:rRNA from 1 species